rnacentral:rRNA from 1 species
CCUACGGGUGGCAGCAGUGAGGAAUAUUGGUCAAUGGCCGUAAGGCUGAACCAGCCAAGUAGCGUGAGGGAAGACUGCCCUAUGGGUUGUAAACCUCUUUUAUGCGGGGAUAAAGGUGUCCACGUGUGGAUGUUUGCAGGUACCGCAUGAAUAAGGACCGGCUAAUUCCGUGCCAGCAGCCGCGGUAAUACGGAAGGUCCGGGCGUUAUCCGGAUUUAUUGGGUUUAAAGGGUGCGCAGGCGGAAUGUCAAGUCAGCGGUAAAAUUUCGGGGCUCAACCCCGUCGUGCCGUUGAAACUGGCGUUCUUGAGUGAGCGAGAAGUAUGCGGAAUGCGUGGUGUAGCGGUGAAAUGCAUAGAUAUCACGCAGAACUCCGAUUGCGAAGGCAGCAUACCGGCGCUCAACUGACGCUCAUGCACGAAAGCGUGGGUAUCGAACAGGAUUAGAUACCCGUGUAGUC